rnacentral:lncRNA from 1 species
CCAUUUCUGCCAGCUAUCCAAAUGGUAGCACAUGAAAAUAUUGGUUCAAAACAUAAAGACGAAAUACGCCUCAAGAAGGCCUAAGAUUUAUAGUGGAAUGGAGCAUGCAAUGUGCAGAUUGAAGUCAGAUGCAAUAGUGCAAUUGUAAGAGUCACAAACUCAUCCUACACAUUGACCAUAGCAUCAUUAAGAGUCACAAACUCAUCCUCCUCAUGUCACAAGUAUAGGAUCAACUAGGGAAAUGUAUCAUAUUAAUCUUUACAAAUUACUUUUAAUUUCUUGCCCUCCCAUUUCUGCCAGUUAUCCAAAUGGUAGCACAUGAAAAUAUUGGUUCAAAACAUAAAGAAGAAAGACGCCUCAAGAAGACCUAAGAUUUAUAGUGGAAUGGAGCAUGCAAUGUGCAGAUUGAAGUCAGAUGCAAUAGUGCAAUUGUAAGAGUCACAAACUCAUCCUACACAUUGACCAUAGCAUCAUUAAGAGUCACAAACUCAUC